UGACAGUCCUGCAAAGCAAAAGCAAAUCACUUCUCAGAGAUCUUAGGGCGAGGGAGGUAUAUAAAUCCACAAUUUAAAUCAGACCCAUUUAUACUUACAGGCAUGUACAUAUAACGAUAUAAACGGAGCACCACCGGAGGCCAGCCGGCAUAUGGGUCGAUCUCGAUUGGUCAGAGUAAAAACAAGCCCCUCCCCUCGUUUGUUGUAGGCAAUAUUUACAUGUUGAGCCAGAAAGUACAGUAAGUAAUGAAGACAAGCGACGCGAGCUAUCAUUCACCGUUUAAAGUGGCGCUUUAAGAGACGUAAUGACCUCGUUCUUCAACUGUUACCCAGGUGGGAACUUUAUGACUUUCACGGCCAACUACUGUCAGGAUCAGAGGGAAACUGCGGCCCCGUCUUAGCCCGGAGGCGCCCGGGAGAGACUGACGAGAAGCAUUUUGGAUCAUCAUGUCAACACCCGAUUAACCUCGGACAUGCUUCAAGGCGGCAGAGAUGCUGAUUGACCAGUACUGAGACACACAAAGUUUUCAGCAAACAACGCUCUGAACUGGAGGAGUUUCAAGUCAACAAGUACCUGGGCAAUUAUCAAGGAUUGUAAUAUAUGGCGUUGUGAUCCUGAAUGAGAUCCUGCCUCCAGAAUAUGUGAAUGAAGACCUGGCACUGAGUUUCACCAACUCCCCCAUUUGCUUUGUAACCACACAUUGCUCUCACUGUCCAAAUUAAAGUGCCAGGAGCUAAAUUAAAAGAGCAGUUCAUUCAAAUGUUACUAUGGUGUGGGUUUUUAUCAUGGAAACACGUUUAUUUAUUCGUGUUAUUAAGUGAUCAUUGAAGUAUUUUCAGCUUUUGAUUAAUUUAUAUAUUGCUUUAAUACUUCUAAAGUGGUUUUAAAUUGAUGGAUAUUUAUGUUGAGUAGUCUAUAACUAAAGUGAAUAUAGAAAAAUCCACACACUGACAUCUGAGUUUAUUAUUGCUGCCUUAAGUUACCCAACCCAAGUCAAUCAUUGUGCACUUUGUGUUAACAUUAUAAAAAUAGUAUUCAACUGUUAUUAUAAAUAAUAAUUUAACACCUGAACCGACUGCAGAAUGUAAGCAUCUCUCUAUGUGUGUCAGUUCAUUAUGCAGCCUCUUUUCCAGAGUGCCCAAAUCAACUGUUUAGUCUUCAAGGCGGUGAUGUGAUUAGCAGUAAUUCUCUCAGAGCAAAUGUGGUGACAUGUAUUGAGGACUGCAACACUGUAUUCCAGGCAUCGGAUGGAGAGAUUAAACCUGACAGAAUUAAAAUUGUGAUAACAAAUGGCAGGCUUGACAUUUCUUU
ensembl:processed_transcript